AUUGAACGCUGGCGGCAUGCCUUACACAUGCAAGUCGAACGGCAGCACGGGCUUCGGUCUGGUGGCGAGUGGCGAACGGGUGAGUAAUGUAUCGGAACGUACCUUUCAGUGGGGGAUAACGUAGCGAAAGUUACGCUAAUACCGCAUAUUCUGUGAGCAGGAAAGCAGGGGAUCGCAAGACCUUGCGCUGAUUGAGCGGCCGAUAGCAGAUUAGCUAGUUGGUGAGGUAAAGGCUCACCAAGGCGACGAUCUGUAGCGGGUCUGAGAGGAUGAUCCGCCACACUGGAACUGAGACACGGUCCAGACUCCUACGGGAGGCAGCAGUGGGGAAUUUUGGACAAUGGGCGCAAGCCUGAUCCAGCCAUGCCGCGUGAGUGAAGAAGGCCUUCGGGUUGUAAAGCUCUUUCGGCCGGGAAGAAAUCGCAUGGGUUAAUACCCUGUGCGGAUGACGGUACCGGCAUAAGAAGCACCGGCUAACUACGUGCCAGCAGCCGCGGUAAAAC
rnacentral:rRNA from 1 species